AUUGAACGCUGGCGGCAGGCCUAACACAUGCAAGUCGAGCGGAUGAAGGGAGCUUGCUCAUGGAUUCAGCGGCGGACGGGUGAGUAAUGCCUAGGAAUCUGCCUGGUAGUGGGGGAUAACGUCCGGAAACGGGCGCUAAUACCGCAUACGUCCUGAGGGAGAAAGUGGGGGAUCUUCGGACCUCACGCUACCAGAUGAGCCUAGGUCGGAUUAGCUAGUUGGUGGGGUAAAGGCCUACCAAGGCGACGAUCCGUAACUGGUCUGAGAGGAUGAUCAGUCACACUGGAACUGAGACACGGUCCAGACUCCUACGGGAGGCAGCAGUGGGGAAUAUUGGACAAUGGGCGAAAGCCUGAUCCAGCCAUGCCGCGUGUGUGAAGAAGGUCUUCGGAUUGUAAAGCACUUUAAGUUGGGAGGAAGGGCAGUAAGUUAAUACCUUGCUGUUUUGACGUUACCAACAGAAUAAGCACCGGCUAACUUCGUG
rnacentral:rRNA from 1 species